GGGGAAUAUUGCACAAUGGGCGAAAGCCUGAUGCAGCAACGCCGCGUGAGUGAAGAAGGUCUUCGGAUCGUAAAACUCUGUUGUUAGGGAAGAACAAGUAUCGUUCGAAUAGGGCGGUACCUUGACGGUACCUAACCAGAAAGCCACGGCUAACUACGUGCCAGCAGCCGCGGUAAUACGUAGGUGGCAAGCGUUGUCCGGAAUUAUUGGGCGUAAAGCGCGCGCAGGCGGUCUUUUAAGUCUGAUGUGAAAGCCCACGGCUCAGCCGUGGAGGGUCAUUGGAAACUGGAAGACUUGAGUGCAGAAGAGGAGAGUGGAAUUCCACGUGUAGCGGUGAAAUGCGUAGAGAUGUGGAGGAACACCAGUGGCGAAGGCGACUCUCUGGUCUGUAACUGACGCUGAGGCGCGAAAGCGUGGGGAGCAAAC
rnacentral:rRNA from 1 species